rnacentral:rRNA from 1 species
UACAGAGACUGCAAGCGUUAUUCGGAUUCACUGGGCGUAAAGCGUGCGCAGGCGGUUGUGCAAGACAGAUGUGAAAUCCCCGGGCUUAACCUGGGAACUGCAUUUGUGACUGCACGGCUAGAGUGUGUCAGAGGGGGGGUAGAAUUCCACGUGUAGCAGUGAAAUGCGUAGAUAUGUGGAGGAAUACCGAUGGCGAAGGCAGCCCCCCUGGGAUAACACUGACGCUCAUGCACGAAAGCGUGGGGAGCAAACAGG